UCUCAUCGGCCAAUCUCAGCCAGUGACACAGAUAUAUGACAGGGCUAAGCUAUCCAAAAGCUAACGUCAUGCUCGCUUGAGACAUUUUCCAGCCCGGUUUAGAGAGGAGACAUUUUGCGAGCAUAUGUAGCCCACAGUGGGCCUGUGCAUGCAGAGAAAAGGUUUCGGGCUCGCUGUCUUUGUCGCUGCGCACGCUAGCUGCGCAGUUUCCGUAAAAGGUUACAAGGAUGGCUCCGCCGUCGGGGAGCGAGGUUCACGCCGUCGACGUAACCCGCGAGGGAGAAUAGGAAAACUGUGAACGCGUAAACGGCGAAUCUGGGGUGGCCGAGUUCACCAAUCACAGAGGGUAUCCUUCAGAAAUGGGCGUUGACCGUGCGCAUCUGGUCCAAUGAGAGCGACGCUCUUGAGCACCACAUGGCACAAUUUGCCUGGCACCGCCCUCGCGACUUCAAAGGCUUUUCCCCAUGCCGCGACAGGGACAAUGGGCGGGUCUGCUUCCAGGAUUGAUGAGUAGGUCGGCCAAUGGGGGUCCUACAUCCGACUGUCAGUUCAAACGGACCCAGCUGUCACGGAGCACCGGUGGUCAUGCAGCACUGUUGCUAUGUUAGUCACAAAAGCCCAUCCUCUCGUUUUUCUUCCACACCUUUUUAUGCUCUCAGCCCUCUGGCACAUACAUUUAAUUACUGGCAUAAUGCUUAGUAAUUGUAAUAAAGUGUGUGUGCAUAUGUGUGCAUGGCUGCCUUGUCAUGGCAACACUUCAUUCAGGUUAAUUUCACCUCUAUCUUUAUAUGGUAGCCUUAUACUUUCUAGUAAGGUUAUAAAGGAUUUAUAUGUUGUGACUAAUUGCUUUAUUAAUGGUAGGCUAAAUAAAUAAUUUAUGCUUAUGCUUUGCUUUUUUCUCUCUUUAAGUUUAUGCACAUCAUCAUAUCACUCCCUUUGCACUACCAUCAGCCCCACUACUACCAACUUCUAGUGAUAUAAUACAGUUAUACUGUACAUAUUGUAUAUAUACAUACGUGUAUAUACAUUGUAUAGGCUAUAUACAUUUCCUUUGUAAAAUAAAGAGCACAUUCUUCUUUUUUGUGCCAUUAUAACUGUUUUUUUUAUUAGCUUGUUCUAUUUAGAAUUUUUACUUAAGAUGAGUUUUUUGCACAUGUUAUGUGUGCAUAUCAUGGCAUUAUUUCACUGUCCAUUCCUGUAUUGUGUGAGAAUAAAGCUGAACCUUCAUUGUAGGUACUAACACAUUUUGGGUUGCAAUGUUGUAAAAACCCAUUUUGUUGUUUUGUUGUUAAUAACAAAGUUGUUUGGUCCACAUCCUCUGCAGCCGUUUUUGCAAGGUGGUUAUACUGUACAAUUAGUCAAAAGGAUUUUUCACAAUCUGGCAACCCAAAAAUGUUUAACUGAACAACAAAGUAUUAGUAAAUGAUUUAUUAACCAUUAAUAAAGCCAUUAGUUACAACUUUUAACCCCAUUAUAAAAGAUUACUUAUUAGAAAGUGCUAUCCUUUAUGCUUCUCCAGUGACCUAAAACCACUUGAGGUGAGGCCUGCAGAACUAAUCGCCGUCUGUUAUUCAGUUUGUUUGUUGAAAGUUCAAGGAUGUAGUGUAAAGCCAUGGUAUAAUGUGUUUUUUUGAGAAAUAAAUAUAUGUCUAAUUAA